rnacentral:rRNA from 1 species
UACGUGAGGGUGCGAGCGUUAAUCGGAAUUACUGGGCGUAAAGCGUGCGCAGGCGGUUUUGUAAGCCAGAUGUGAAAUCCCCGGGCUUAACCUGGGAAUGGCAUUUGGGACUGCAAGGCUUGAGUGCGGCAGAGGAGACUGGAAUUCAUGGUGUAGCAGUGAAAUGCGUAGAGAUCAUGAGGAAGACCAGUGGCGAAGGCGGGUCUCUGGACAGUUCCUGACACUGAGCCACGAAGGCCAGGGGAGCAAACGGG